CACAGCACUGCACCAGCUACUAAGCAGGAGAAAAAUGACUGCUAUAGCUGAACCCAGGACAUAUGCAAACUCCUAAAAAUUAGACUUUCAAAGUUUUACAGCUUGAGCAAGGUAAGGUGUAGGGUUUUGUUGGUUUUGUUUUGUUGUUUUGGGUUUUUUUAAUAGGACCUCUGCAAAUUAUGUAUCUGAUGCAACUUAGUGAUUCUCUCAUGUACCUAAUGUUAAAGCUUGUUUCAAUGUUCAGCAAAUUAAUUGUUAGUUUGUAUAGGAACACUUCCCCCCUCCCCCCCCCCAAUCUCAUCCAACAGACCUAAUUGAACCAAGGAAUUUUGCUAACUCUAAUAUUUGACAAAUUGAGGUUUUGGUGUGGUUUGGAUAGCAUUCAGUAGCCUGGAUAUACACAUGUAAGAAUCACGGCACUAGUCAUAGUAAUGGAUUUAACUGAAAAUACUACUUUUAAACAAUUACCAGUUUCUGAUGAAGGCAUACAUUUUGCCUAUCUCGCCUAUGGUCGUAUAUGUAAGCAGGCAGAUACUUAGCUGCAUUUUAUGAAGACAACCAAUUUAAAAGAAGUGCAGUGAUCAUUAAUGACUCAAAUUGAAGAUAACCACACUGUGCCCAAGGCAGUUCUUCCUGUACCAAGACAGAGGAGUGCCAUCUAUCGAACUGCCACUUCAGCUGCUGAUGCUUCUUGGGACUUCUUCAAAAUAAUGGCUAACCAUUAUCCAUAGAAAUAUGUUUAACACAUAAGUGUCAUUUAUUUUAGUAGUAAUAAGAGAAUCACUGUGCAAAACAAAAUUGCAGGCACACAGAAUGAUUGGUUGGGUUGGGUUUGGGUUUUUUUAAGAAAAAAAGAUAAAAAAACCUGCUGAGCUGUUUGAACUUUUGAGGAAAAGAAGCGAUUUUUAAUGCUUUUUGCAUUUAAUAUGUUGAUAUCUGCUGUAAAGAACAUUCCUUACAGUGUAUUCUGUCACACACUUUUGGCUGUUAGACCCUUUUUUCAGAGGUUCUAGCUCCCUUUAAUUUAAACAUAAAUGUUUUUCAAGUGCCAGAUAUCUGUAGCUGGGAUGGAGGAAUGUUUCCUCAUAACUUUAGUUUUAAGGAAGAGCUAAAAUCUUCUUCUAAGGGAGCAAAGGAGUCACUUUUUUGAGAUUUAAACAUACAAGUUCUGAAGAACCUUUUGAUUUAUAUUCCACUCAUGAUCUCA